UACGUAGGGUGCAAGCGUUGUCCGGAAUUAUUGGGCGUAAAGGGCUCGUAGGCGGCCAACUAAGUCAGGGGUGAAAUCCUGGAGCUCAACUCCAGAACUGCCUUUGAUACUGGCGAUCUUGAGUCCGGGAGAGGUGAGUGGAACUGCGAGUGUAGAGGUGAAAUUCGUAGAUAUUCGCAAGAACACCAGUGGCGAAGGCGGCUAACUGGUCCAGCACUGACGCUGAGGUGCGAAAGCGUGGGGAGCAACAGGG
rnacentral:rRNA from 1 species